ACAGUUGACUGAUACAUUUUUACAACUGGUGUACAAAGGGGGUUAACAUUAAUGUGUGAUAGGUGCCAGGCCUAUACUUCAAAGAAUAGCAUGAUUUUACCAUAUCAACAAAACAUGCCGCGCAUUGUGCUUUUUGUAAGUAGCGAUAUCAACAAACCGAGAAAUCCACUUAUAAAUGGUGGUAAAUCGCUACAUUAUUAAAAUGAUUAAAAAGAAUAAACGAAUCAUUUAAACAGAUUCACUUAAGUUCAAAAGAAUCGGUUCAGUAAAUGAUUCAUGUCCGAAUGAAUCGUGUACUAGUUUCGAUUCGUUUAAAUGCCAGAGGCGGUGUUUAACUUCGUUCAAAGUAGGCUGUUAUAUUUUGGUUGUAUUUUUACCGACUGUUUCGCUACAGAUGUGUUAUCAAACGGGUCAGUGACUUUAUUACUUUACAUUAACGGAAUUUCGCGUUCAUAAUUACGAAGAUUGGACACAGACUCGUUAAAGAUGACACAUAACCUGUCGUACAGUGCAGUGGCGGCAAGAGGAGCACCAGCAUCAUCCGAUACACAACCACGCUCUGACCUGAUGAAGCUGAAGAAAUCACUCCGGGAUCUGAUGACCCAAUAUCCUGAAGGAGUCACUUUGAGUAAAGCCCGCAGGUUCUGCCCGCUCCUCCUCGACCCAGAGCUACUGAAGGACCACGCUUCUGUCCGCCAGCUCUUGGCAUCCAUGCCUGAUGUGGUGACACUAUGGGGAUUCGGUGUCCAGACAUUCCUUCUCCCUGUUGACACUAAUUGGAACAGGAGAAGUCUUGUGGGAUAGCCAUUGUUUACAGAUAAGUUAUCCCACAAUACUCUGCCAUCAAAAAACAGGACACUUAACUAGAUGAACACUUUCCUCCACUAAACUGUGACCUUUCCAUCUUGGCCUGGAUGACCAUAGAAAAUAGCUGUAAUAAGAAUACAUGGAUUUUUCAUACCACAUUUUUUUUUUAACCACAUUUUGACCAGAUGAAGAAUUGUAUUCUUAAAUAUAAUAUAGAAAUCGCUGUGUUUACAUCUUUGAAGACCACAGAAGCACUUAAUUAUGUAUGUGGUCACGCACAAAUCAGGAAAUAACAGCGAAAUGUAUCCUAUAUUUCUAUGUUUAUAACUUUGAAUAAUAAUAUUUACACAUUUUAACUUUAAAUGUUUUGUAAAGAAAUGUUCAAAAAAACUUGUGACUUUUAUAUUUUUAAUAUGAUAUAUAUAUAUAUAUAUAUACACACACACACACACACACACACUAUAGUAAAUACAUGCAUCCUCCUAAAAAACAAUAUUGUCAGAAAGCAUCUGCAAUAAAUGAAAACUUUGAUUUUUAA